GAUGAACGCUGGCGGCGUGCUUAACACAUGCAAGUCGAACGGAAAGGCUCCUGCUUGCCGGGGUACUCGAGUGGCGAACGGGUGAGUAACACGUGGGUGAUCUGCCCUGCACUUCGGGAUAAGCCUGGGAAACUGGGUCUAAUACCGGAUAGGACCACAUUUUGGAUGGUGUGGUAGAAAGUUUUUCGGUGUGGGAUGAGCUCGCGGCCUAUCAGCUUGUUGGUGGGGUAAUGGCCUACCAAGGCGUCGACGGGUAGCCGGCCUGAGAGGGUGUACGGCCACAUUGGGACUGAGAUACGGCCCAGACUCCUACGGGAGGCAGCAGUGGGGAAUAUUGCACAAUGGGCGCAAGCCUGAUGCAGCGACGCCGCGUGGGGGAUGACGGCCUUCGGGUUGUAAACUCCUUUCGCUAGGGACGAAGCGCAAGUGACGGUACCUGGAGAAGAAGCACCGGCUAACUACGUG
rnacentral:rRNA from 1 species